UUACAGCCAUAUCACGUUGAAACAACGGUUCUCGAACGAUCACUGAAGUUAAGCAACGUCGAGCCUGGUCAGUAUAUUGAUGGGUGACCACGUGGAAAUACUAAGUGCUGUAAG